rnacentral:lncRNA from 1 species
CAAGUAGGUCCAUCUUCAUCGCUUCAAAAAGGUCCCAUAUCGAAAACCACUAACACCCUUACCCACAAGACUAUCCCUUAUGACUCCAUACUACACCACCUCUCUUCCCAAACCAAAGCCACCACCACAGACAUUGGAACCCACAUGCUGGAACUCUUCGGAUCCGACGCCAGUUUGAGGUUUCAAACUGUGUCGCAUGCUCUGUUGGAGGCGCUGGGACCCGAC